GAGAGGAGAAGUGGAGGUUGGUGAGAGGUUGAAGUGAGACUUCUUAUCUUAUUCAAUUUCGAGUUAGCGUCGAAAACAGCUUAUUCGAGAACAGCAAAAGCUGUGCCGUAGGAAAAGAGAAGUAGAACCGAUGCUGGCUCCAUACGGAUACAUCAAAUGUGUGGAAAACAAUCUCUUCGCGAGCAGGAGAGAGUCAAAAGGCAGAAGAGGAAUCGGUUGUGCUAGAAUUAGAUCUAACCGUAUCCGGUGUUUCGAAAGAGA
rnacentral:lncRNA from 1 species